rnacentral:rRNA from 1 species
UGGGGAAUAUUGGACAAUGGGCGCAAGCCUGAUCCAGCCAUGCCGCGUGAGUGACGAAGGUCUUCGGAUUGUAAAGCUCUUUUGGCGGGGACGAUAAUGACGGUACCCGCAGAAUAAGCCCCGGCUAACUUCGUGCCAGCAGCCGCGGUAAUACGAAGGGGGCUAGCGUUGUUCGGAAUCACUGGGCGUAAAGCGCACGUAGGCGGAUGUGCCAGUCAGGGGUGAAAUCCCGGAGCUCAACUUCGGAACUGCCUCUGAUACAGCACGUCUUGAGUCCGAUAGAGGUGGGUGGAAUUCCUAGUGUAGAGGUGAAAUUCGUAGAUAUUAGGAAGAACACCGGUGGCGAAGGCGGCCCAUGGAUCGGUACUGACGCUGAGGUGCGAAAGCGUGGGGAGCAAACAGGAUUAGAUACCCUAGUAGUCCCUGAGCGGGCUGGCAAGGCGCAU